AAGUCGUAACAAGGUUUCCGUAGGUGAACCUGCGGAAGGAUCAUUAAUGAUUGACCGAAAGGUCUUAUCUUAACAUCCCUCACCUCUGUGAACCGUUUGACCUCCGGGUCUAACAAACUAUACAAACAUCAGUGUAAUGAACGUCUUGUUAUCUUAACAAAAACAAAACUUUUAACAACGGAUCUCUUGGCUCUCGCAUCGAUGAAGAACGCAGCGAAAUGCGAUAAGUAAUGUGAAUUGCAGAAUUCAGUGAAUCAUCGAAUCUUUGAACGCACCUUGCGCCUUUUGGUAUUCCGAAAGGCAUGCCUGUUUGAGUGUCAUGAAAUCUCAAUCCCAUCUGGUUUAUGAUCAGGUGUCGGACUUGGACAUGGGCGUCUGCCGGUUACACGGCUCGCCUCAAAUGACUUAGUGGGAUCGCUAGCAUCCGUGACAGACGUAAUAAGUUUCGUCUUGUCCCUUGCGUGCGUCAAGCCUGCUCAGAACCCCGCUUGCCUCUGUGCAACACUUUUUUGACUCUGACCUCAAAUCAGGUAGGACUACCCGCUGAACUUAA
rnacentral:rRNA from 1 species